CGAACGGGUAGAGUAACACGUGAGCAACCUGCCCCUGACUCUGGGAUAAGCGCUGGAAACGGCGUCUAAUACUGGAUAUGUCCCGUCACCGCAUGGUGUGCGGGUGGAAAGAUUUUUCGGUUGGGGAUGGGCUCGCGGCCUAUCAGCUUGUUGGUGAGGUAAUGGCUCACCAAGGCGUCGACGGGUAGCCGGCCUGAGAGGGUGACCGGCCACACUGGGACUGAGACACGGCCCAGACUCCUACGGGAGGCAGCAGUGGGGAAUAUUGCACAAUGGGCGGAAGCCUGAUGCAGCAACGCCGCGUGAGGGAUGACGGCCUUCGGGUUGUAAACCUCUUUUAGCAGGGAACAAGCGAGAGUGACGGUACCUGCAGAAAAAGCACCGGCUAACUACGUGCCAGCAGCCGCGGUAAUACGUAGGGUGCAAGCGUUAUCCGGAAUUAUUGGGCGUAAAGAGCUCGUAGGCGGUCUGUCGCGUCUGCUGUGAAAUCGCGAGGCUCAACCUCGGGCUUGCAGUGGGUACGGGCAGACUAGAGUGCGCUAGGGGAGAUUGAAAUUCCUGGUGUAGCGGUGGAAUGCGCACAUAUCAGGAGGAACACCGAUGGCGAACGCAGAUCUCUGG
rnacentral:rRNA from 1 species